CACGGGGGGAGCAAGCGUUGUUCGGAAUCACUGGGCUUAAAGGGCGCGUAGGCGGCUUGCCAAGUCAGUGGUGAAAUCCUGCAGCUUAACUGCAGAAGUGCCUUUGAUACUGGCGAGCUCGAGGGAGGUAGGGGUAUGUGGAACUUCUGGUGAAGCGGUGAAGUGCGUUGAUAUCAGAAGGAACGCCAGUGGCGAAAGCGACGUACUGGACCUCUUCUGACGCUGAGGCGCGAAAGCUAGGGGAGCAAACGGG
rnacentral:rRNA from 1 species